UAUUACAUGUCCAGAUUAUAAUUGUUUAAUUUGGCCACAUAGUUUUGUCACUAUUCCAUUCAUUAGAAAAACUCAAGUUUUGCUGGAUAAAACUUGCUUCUUCAAAACAUUGGUUUCGCUGGCUGGACUAUCACCUUGAUUCUACCUCUUAUUGAAAAGAGUUCAUGUUAUUUUAUGCUUUUGUUUGACUUUUGCACUCUCAAAUAUACAAAACAUUAAUCAUAGGAAAAUCAUGAAACAAUUGUUGUUUUUUUUUGCCAUACUGUUGUUACAAUUUUAGGGGAAAAGGUGUGUGGGGGGGGGGGGGGAACAAAAAUGUCCUCUGUGGACCUCUAAUUAAUUUUUUUUUUUUAUGUUUGCUUUUUGGUUUGUUUUAUUUACAUUUAGUUUGUCUUGCUUCUCAUUUUAUAAGUCUGAAGAAACCAAACAAGCUGAGUGAACAUCUGCUUAAUACUUAUUUUUUACAAAUUAUAUUUGGUAGCACUCUUUGGCUUUUUUUUUUUUUUUUUUUUUUUUUUUUUUUUUUUUUUAAAGCCUUUCUUGUUGACUAAGUUUUAAAGUUGCUGUGUGAUUAGUACAUUUAAAAAAAACAGUUUUGUAUAUAUUAUAUUACAUUAUUAUUCAUAAUCCAUUUUUUUUUUACAUUCAAACACUUGUACAUUGACAGUAGAACUCUUUUGUGUUCUCCUGAUUGCUACAAUCAUUCUAGAGGCAGCCAUUUUAUUUCUUGUUAUUUGUAGGACUAUGAUUCAGUUGUUAUUGUUGUCAAUUAGUGCUGCAAACGGUUAUUAUGUAUUGUGUGUAUAUGGUUUUAAAAUCUUUGAUGAUUAUUCUAAAGACAAUCUGAAUAAUGCUUCCCAUUAAUAAAUGAUGGGUUUCUAGGCAUUGAACCUGACUUGUUAUAAACUAAUAGGCCUGUAAGCUAAUAAACUAGAAAUUAUUGAA